AUGUCCACUCAUUUUAUUAAAAUAAAUAAUUUCCAAUGGAACCCACACUACAGCGCGUGGACCAGGGCCGUUGGAAGCUAUGGCGUGGGACUCGAGGGUGGUACACCCAAUAAAGAAAGCGGUUUCCCGAUCCGAUAAUGGACGGUUACGAUGUGGGGAUUCGAGGGUCCGCGAUGGUCGGCAAAGGCGGUGGCGAUCCUUUCAUGUCGUCCUGCUUCUUCCCCACCAACAUCAUCGCCGGAUAUCCAGUCGGACCGCGCUGCGUCACGCCGCGCCGCCUCGCGGGAUCCGACCCGCAACCGCGAAGGAUGAGAUAGUCGUCGGAGUAGACAUUCUGUUUUUGCUAUGAAAUUUGUGGAUUUUCUUGGAUGAGUUUGGGUUCGAUUUUUCCGACAAUUGUUGAAAUUGUAAAUGUCAAUUACUUUGGAAUAAAGAAAUAGGGAAUUCUUUGCAAAUGGAGUUUUGAGGUAAAUCAUGGAUUGGUGAUAGAGAUCUGAAGACCUAGCACGUCAUUUCAUUGGUAUUUGGUAGGAGCAGACCAGGAUGAUUUGGGUUCGCAUGUUCCAUUGCUCUUUCAAUUCCCAAACGAAUAUGAUUCUUCUUUCUUUCCCCUCACUACCUCUUGGAUUUGGAGGAGACUUGUCGAUGGCGCAUAAUUGCUGACGAAGCCAUUGGGAUGAGAAGUAGGCGCACCACUUUUUUGGUGGAUCUUGAACUUUUAGAUGAUCAGAUGGAAGCUGAAGAAUCAAAAGAAAAACAACUCCCAUAGAAACAAACCAAAAGUCAAUUUGUAUCUACCAUUGUCACAAUCAUUGUAGGUUAUGAAAAAGGAUAAGCUACGUGGAAAGAGGGGAAUUCUUGUCCUGGAAUAAUUCUUGAUCUUUAUUUUAACAUUGUAUCAUACAUUCAUCCCCUUGAGAAUUAUGAUUUUUCCCUUAAA